UACGUAGGGGGCAAGCGUUGUCCGGAUUUAUUGGGCGUAAAGAGCGUGUAGGCGGCCAGACAGGUCAGCUGUGAAAACUCGAGGCUCAACCUCGAGACGCCGAUGGAAACCAUGUGGCUAGAGUCCGGAAGAGGAGAGUGGAAUUCCCGGUGUAGCGGUGAAAUGCGCAGAUAUCGGGAAGAACACCCGUGGCGAAGGCGGUUCUCUGGGACGGUACUGACGCUGAGACGCGAAAGCGUGGGGAGCGAACAGG
rnacentral:rRNA from 1 species